rnacentral:tRNA from 1 species
UCCCUAGUGGCUCAGAGGGUAAAGCAUCUGCCUGCAAUGCAGGAGACCCAGGUUCGAUCCCUGGGUUGGGAA